UUCAUUGUCAUAAUUUAAGAUAUGGUUAUAAAGGGAGGCAAAAAGCAAAGUUGGGAAGUUUCGCUGAUUAACGCCUACUUUUUUAUUCAUUGCUUUGAGGCGUUUACUUAGUAACUUCACCAUACGUGC